CAACCUUCUCCUAACGCGUAGGUCCCCGGCCGGGUGAACGGCACCUGCGUUUCUUUGGCUUUCAUGAAGAAGAUCAUGAGCCUGAGAAAUGGGAGGGAGAAGAAAAGAAGGAAGGAAGGAGUGAAGGAGAGAGGAAGAGAAAGGAGGAAGAUGGAGAACCAAAAUAAUACAGUAAAUAUAAAUACAAGUAAUACGCUUUCAUCACAGUUGAAACAAAGGACACAGACAGUAUACUUGGCCAGCUGUCCAGAUACAUUUAGAAAGCUUGGCCACAGAAAAUAUCAAUAAAUCUCCAAAG
rnacentral:lncRNA from 1 species